rnacentral:lncRNA from 1 species
UACUUUUGAUCUGAAAAACUUGGGGGCUACACCAAGUUAGAUUUCUUCAAAUGCUGGGGAGAAUUCAACACUACCUGACAGUGCAACCUGGCUUCUUAUGUGGAAGAUGUUAGGCUGUGAAUUUUGCCACAGGAAAGGAGGAUGUCUGCCAUGUGAAAUAAGUAGCCCAGGUGCCUUUUCUCAGCUUACCUAUGUAUGAAUAGUCCCACAGCAGGCUCCUGGGUCAAGAAUUGACUGAUGGCAACUGACUACAUGGAGAAUAUUUGGCCAUUAAAACUCUGAGGAAAAAAAAGAAAAUUUUUACUCAUUAGAAAAGAAAUAAGUCAAAGCAAUGUUGUAGCUACAGUUUUUAAUUUUUACAUAUAUUACUUGUGUUAACAUAUGUCAUGUCACUGGGAGUCUCUUUAAAAUGAUGUUUUAGUGCUAGAAAUUGUCAAAUAUCGAAGUGUAAAUAAUACUUUUA